AGUGAACGCUGGCGGUAGGCCUAACACAUGCAAGUCGAACGGCAGCACAGUAAGAGCUUGCUCUUACGGGUGGCGAGUGGCGGACGGGUGAGGAAUACAUCGGAAUCUACUUUUUCGUGGGGGAUAACGUAGGGAAACUUACGCUAAUACCGCAUACGACCUACGGGUGAAAGCAGGGGAUCUUCGGACCUUGCGCGAUUGAAUGAGCCGAUGUCGGAUUAGCUAGUUGGCGGGGUAAAGGCCCACCGAGGCGACGAUCCGUAGCUGGUCUGAGAGGAUGAGCAGCCACACUGGAACGGAGACACGGACCAGACUCCUAGGGGAGGCAGAAGGGGGGAAUAUGGGACAAGGGGCGCAAGCCUGAUCCAGCCAUACCGCGUGGGUGAAGAAGGCCUUCGGGUUGAAAAGCCCUUUUGGUGGGAAAGAAAAGCAGCAGGUUAAUACCCCGCUGUUCUGACGGUACCAAAAGAAUAAGCACCGGCUAACUUCG
rnacentral:rRNA from 1 species